UACGUAGGGGGCAAGCGUUGUCCGGAAUCAUUGGGCGUAAAGAGCGUGUAGGCGGUCCGGUCAGUCGGUUGUGAAAGUCAAGGGCUCAACCCUUGAAUGCCGGCCGAUACUGCCGGGCUAGAGUCCGGAAGAGGUGAGUGGAAUUCCUGGUGUAGCGGUGAAAUGCGCAGAUAUCAGGAGGAACACCAAUUGCGAAGGCAGCCCGCUGGGACGUUACUGACGCUGAGGCGCGAAAGCUGGGGGAGCGAACGGG
rnacentral:rRNA from 1 species